rnacentral:rRNA from 1 species
CCUACGGGUGGCAGCAGUGGGGAAUAUUGCACAAUGGGGGGAACCCUGAUGCAGCGACGCCGCGUGGGUGAGGAAGUACUUCGGUAUGUAAAGCCCUAUCAGCAGGGAAGAAAAUGACGGUACCUGACUAAGAAGCCCCGGCUACCUACGUACCAGCAGCCGCGGUAUUCCGUAGGGGGCAAGCGUUAUCCGGAUUUACUGGGUGUAAAGGGAGCGUAGACGGGGUGGCAAGUCUGAUGUGAAAGGCCGGGGCUCAAACCCGGGACUGCAGUGGAAACUGGCAUGCUGGAGUGGCGGAGGGGCAAGCGGAAUGCGUAGUGUAGCGGUGAAAUGCGUAGAUAUUAGGAGGAACACCGGUGGCGAAGGCGGCUUGCUGGACGGCAACUGACGUUGAGGCUCGAAAGCGUGGGGAGCAAACAGGAUUAGAUACCCCUGUAGUC